rnacentral:snRNA from 1 species
GUGCUCACGUUGGCAGCACGUACACUAAAAUUGGAACGAUACAGAAAAGAUUAGCAUGGCCACUGCACAAGGAUGACACGUGAAUUCUGGAAGUGUUCCACAACUUU